AACCGCCUUCGGGCGGGGAGGAGUGGCGAACGGGUGAGUAACACGUGGGCAAUCUGCCCUGCACUCUGGGAUAACUCCGGGAAACCGGAGCUAAUACCGGAUACGACCCUCCAGGGCAUCCUGGGGGGUGGAAAGCUCCGGCGGUGCAGGAUGAGCCCGCGGCCUAUCAGCUGGUUGGUGGGGUGACGGCCCACCAAGGCGACGACGGGUAGCCGGCCUGAGAGGGCGACCGGCCACACUGGGACUGAGACACGGCCCAGACUCCUACGGGAGGCAGCAGUGGGGAAUAUUGCACAAUGGGCGCAAGCCUGAUGCAGCGACGCCGCGUGAGGGAUGACGGCCUUCGGGUUGUAAACCUCUUUCAGCAGGGAAGAAGCGCAAGUGACGGUACCUGCAGAAGAAGCACCGGCUAACUACGUGCCAGCAGCCGCGGUAAUACGUAGGGUGCGAGCGUUGUCCGGAAUUAUUGGGCGUAAAGAGCUCGUAGGCGGCCUGUCGCGUCGGAUGUGAAAGCCGGGGCUUAACCCCGGUCUGCAUUCGAUACGGGCAGGUAGAGUUCG
rnacentral:rRNA from 1 species